rnacentral:rRNA from 1 species
GACGAACGCUGGCGGCGUGCUUAACACAUGCAAGUCGAACGGAAAGGCCCUGCUUUUGUGGGGUGCUCGAGUGGCGAACGGGUGAGUAACACGUGAGUAACCUGCCCUUGACUUUGGGAUAACUUCAGGAAACUGGGGCUAAUACCGGAUAGGAGCUCCUGCUGCACGGUGGGGGUUGGAAAGUUUCGGCGGUUGGGGAUGGACUCGCGGCUUAUCAGCUUGUUGGUGAGGUAGUGGCUUACCAAGGCUUUGACGGGUAGCCGGCCUGAGAGGGUGACCGGCCACAUUGGGACUGAGAGACGGCCCAGACUCCUACGGGAGGCAGCAGUGGGGAAUAUUGCACAAUGGGCGGAAGCCAGAGGCAGCAACGCCGCGUGCGGGAUGACGGCCUUCGGGUUGUAAACCGAUUUCGCCUGUGACGAAGCGUGAGUGACGGUAAUGGGUAAAAAAGCACCGGCUAACUACGUG